CCAGCCAGGAGGGUACACGCUACUCCCACCAUCUCCCACGCCCAGUGUGCAGUUGUCUUUUCACGUAUGGAAUAGCCGGGUUCAAGCUUACCCUGUCCCAUUUCCAGGGCAUGUGGCCAGUUAAGAUAGUCCUUGAUCAUACAGGCCUACAUACACAUCCAAUCCUUAAUUGACCCGGGCAGAGCAUCACCUGUUCCUAGCCCAAGUCGCGAGUUAAAUACUUCCAUCCUUAGGAUUGUUCUGUGUUCCUUAGGAUGAAGAGAGCAUUAUAGGGAACUUUGCAGUAAGAUCCCACCAUGCUCCCAAUGAAAAUAUUCUUGCAGAUAGAAAUCAUCCUUCCUCAAGAUAAAACUGAGCUAGGCAUAUGUGCAAAGGACAAACUCUAUCUGCUUAUAAGCAGGGCUAAGCAUUUUUUGUAAAUUAUAUUUUGAUACUUCACCAGAAGUAUCUAAAAAAGGAAAGGAUUUCAAGGUAGCCAAUGCAUCAAAGGGUUUCCAAGCAACUCCUAUAAACCUAAUGCACAUUCACUAGACUUAAAGUGUGUAAAAAUAAUUUAAAAACACAAAAAAGGGGUUGCAUGCACCGGGGCUUGCCUGGGUAACACUAGGUUAGUGUUUGUUAGGCGACCACUUGACGAGCAUCCAUUGGCUUGGCACUCGUUCAGAUUAUCCAUCUUCCGGUUCGUUCAUCAGCAUCAUCCUGCGGAUUAGCCCGCGCUUGGUAUCGACUUGACUCUUUUCCUUCGUCUUACUUGAUUAAUUAUCGUACCUCAUAAGAUGCACAAUGCACAUGUAUGAGCAUAAAGUAACCGGAUGAUACAAAAAAGAGAAUCAAAUAUUUAGCGGCAAGACAUCAACACAAUCCUACGAAAGCACUAGACAUCUAUAAUUCACUAAACACAACAAUCAUGAUUUUUCUAGUUUUACCAGAUUUAACUAGCGGGAAUAAUAGAUCAGCUUACCCUGAUCGAAUCGACCCGAUAACCGCGAGGGCGACGACGGCUUGGCGAGGAGGUGAGCGAGACGUCGCAGCACGCGGAGUGAACUCAGGACGAUAUCGAGAGCGCCGAUGCUGCCGUAGCGAGAUCGAUACAAGGACGACGAUGACAAUCAGGUGUAGCGAGACAACAGAGAAUAGAUGGCACAAUAGACGUCUCCACGGCGGCAUCACAGUACCACUGUGAGGUCUAGUAGUAGAUGACGACGCCGGCGAGUUCCACAAGCCGGAGCGUGCACGGCAUCAAAACGGAUGAGCACGUGACCCGGCGACCCAGCACAGGCACACACGAAACUGAGCUCCAUGGCCAAGCGCUUGAGUCGGUGAGCGUGCAGCCGUGGAAAAGAAACGACGACUGGAGGCGCUGCCUGGCGAAGGAAAGAACGCGCCCGACUUUGGCUAGAACCAGCGACACGAUGGCUUGAAGACUGAGCGAGGCGAGCAACGUGUUGGAGUUGCUGGGGAGCUCGCGCGUCUGGGAAAAUCUAACGUCGACGAGCAGGAGCGAGCGUUCCUGGUGCUGGAGCAGCCCGGCCAGCAGUACGAAGCGCGCAGUGGUGCAGUGGUGAGAUGGGUGGCGUGGGUGAUUCCCAGGGUGUUCAACGCAUCUUGUGAAGGAAGUUUCCAGGAGCUGAAUACGUGGGAAAUAAAUGACGUGAAUGAGAUGCAGAGGUGGCGUGAGGAAGAGCUUCAGUACGUGGCCGGUUGCACAGAACAGAGGGAGAGAUACGUGAGGAAAUUCUCCUUCCAGCUAUCUCUAUCCGUAUGAGAGAAAAAGAAUACGGUAGCUCUUGGGAUAAGAAGAAGAGUAGGCGGUGGGGAUAUUCCAUGGAGAUAGACAUGCUCUAGAAAACAAAAGGGAUGAGGAUGGCUGAGACAUAGGCGAGCAUGUUGAACCCUGGCCCCCAAAACUGACACAAGUUUCAGUUUCCAACUUGCAAAACAGAGGGAAUUGGAGGACGAUUUUCUUCCAGUUCUAAGUAAUGACAGGAAAUCAAUGCUUAAUAAGAAUGGUUCUCCAAUAAUAACUCUUUAUAUUUGGUGUAAUGAUCAUCCACCAAAGUUUAGGAAUUAAUAAUUAGAAGGGUCCAAAACUGAGAGGAAUAUGCGUCUUCUAAAAAUUCAGAAAAGCUGAAUCACGUUUCAGAUUCUAAAACUGCACCUGGCGCCAAAUGAACCCCCCAUCUUUAAACCCCUUUGAUCCUCACUAGUGCAAGCAAUACAUGCCAAUCUUAGUUAACAAAGAUUGUUCCCAACACAUAGAUUUAAAUGUUUGCUGCAGCAGCCUUAGGUCAAAGAUUCAUGGAUCAAAAGUUAUGGUGCUUCAAAGUGGGAUGAAAAUACUGAAAUUCAGAUUCAGCUAACUGAACCAAAAGCUGAACUCGCACCUGACAGAGAGAGUUUGAACACAAUUUACUCCAACACCAGUGCAUCAACCUACAACAGACCUGUACCAAGAUUGCUCACUGAUACAAAGUCUUCAACUUUGUUUUAAUGGUUACUAUCAAAAGCUCAACUGACCUCAAGUUAUCGAGCACCAAAGUUGGGGCAGCACCAGCGAACUCAACAAUUCAGCCUAGCUGAAUUUGGUUCAGCACACCAAUGUCUGACAUAGCGACUUGGAGCAGCAUUUUCUCCCCUUUCUAAACAAGCUCAAGGAGAUGAAACUUAAUAGAAGUUACUCACCACACUACCCUCUAAGACUUCUCUGUGGAGAGUGCAUGCCAUAACAUCAAAAGUUUAUCACAACAGAGAUCUAAAGUUUGCUAAAAAUGCUGAAACUGGACAUCAAUUUCUGAAUCAAAGUCCAGAAAUCACAAGUCUGACAGCUCCACUUUGGACCAUCUUUUCUCCAAGUUCCAAGUAGCUUUAGGGAUAUGACCUUUAACCAAAGUUGCACACCAACAUGUGGUCUUCAAACUUGAUACAACAAUAUUAGCCCAACACCACAUGGAUCAGGCACCACAAAGCUCCAAAGUUGAGCCAAACACACUAAAAUUCCGACUUGGACAAUUACACCAAGUCUGAAAUCCAAACCUGUCAGCCUCUCUUUGGACCAGUUUUACACCCAGUUACUCAUGGUUUUACGGGCAGGUUGCCUAAGCAAAUUUGUAUCCCUAGUAUAGCUCUACAACCUUGUUAUAAUGUCCACCUUCAAACUGUUUAUAGAUCAAAAGUUAUGAGGACCCAAAAACAGCUAGUUGAUAUUAUUUUCAGCAUACUUCAAAUCUGAUUCAAAACUGAAUUAAGCAUUUUACUCGGUUCGGUUCUAAUUACCUCGGUCUGCUUAAUUGUUAAAUAACGACAAAACCUGUGAACCCCUUUUAAUUACAUAGAUUAUCGAAAUGAAAAUGGCACCAAACUCGAACCUUUGCGAGAUAAUUAAAAUUUAGUGUCCAUUUUAUUCAUCGCUAUCACGUGUUAAGGUCCGCACUCGUGGUCGAGCAGACGAUAAACACAUGGGGUGUUACAACCCUCCCCCCUUAAAAGAAUCUCGUCCCGACAUUCAGAACGAAAGACUUUUAAGAGUAGAGAAUAAUAUAACUCUUGCCCAUAUCAGCGGUAACCAUAAAACAGCUCCAAGCAAAGUCGAGUGUCUCAGAAUAUGGUUUCUCUAGUGGACAUAACAUGCAUUGCCCUAAGCUAAUUUAGAAAUGUCCACCAAUAGAGACGAUGUCUGCCAGAGGAACACAUAAGGUUCCAUGUGCAGUUUGCUUUUUCUGAUGACACUGUACUAUUUGAGUCUGUUGGGCGAGCGGUAGAUAUGCGACUUUACCCAAACGGAACCAGAUGCAACGUCUUGGGUAAAACACACAGAAAGAAGUUUACCAACAAGGGGUCACGGUAAGUUCACAGCACACGAGGCGGGUGUGAAUGUCGAAUAACAUCACAGUUGACCCAUGGCCAGCCAGAAAAUCCAAGUCCAAGAAAAAUGAUAGAGACUAGAAAAAUCACUAGCGAAGGGAUCUAUAGAUGCGGGCUUUGCAACCAGUCCAUUUUAUCAAGCACUAGGCAUGGCUCGACUUGAUCACACAUGCUGGAAAAGCACACACGAGGCGAUCAAGGCAUGACUAGAGUUGUGGUUAGGCUGUUAACAGUUAGCUGAGGAUGGCAAAAAUACCUCGGCCAACAAGGUAAAGUUAAGAUGCAUAUGCUCAUAAUCUAAACCAAUAUGGCACAAGAUCUGCGCAUAUGUUCAUAUCCUUCACUUGAUCUUCACCAAGUUUUUCUUCAGGAUAGGCUGAACUAAAGUGAGUUUAGACAACUCGAUAAGACGAUUUCUAAACUCAACCUUUGUUCACAAAGCAGUUACAAGUUAGUAAAACCAACUUGUUGAACUACCUUUGACAUUGAGCAAGUCCUCUCAGUACCAUCGGUAAGACAAGGGUUGAGAGUUCACUUUAAUUAACAAGAGAUCAUGCACUUGGGUAGAAAUCCAUUUGGUCAGGUUGUUCAUCCGUUUCUUCAUGCGAGAUGAAUUAUCAACUUGGUUAAGGAAUAUAGGGAUUAAUAAGAGAGUGAAUGAAAAAACUCCUGCAUCUCAGCAGCAGGGAAAAUCAAUCUGCAUUUUGAGAGCUAAUUAGCUGCUUUCCAACACUAAAAAGCUCCAAGGCUUCACCUUUACACAAAGGAUGCAAAGGGAACGUGUAUGUGUGAAGUCACCAUCAAAGUCAAGGAAAAGAGACCACACAUGAAAGGGGUAUGCCCUUUUGAUCCAACAGAGAUGAUAGAUGUUGCUUGAUCACAUGACAAACAACAUAGAAAUCUUUUCAAGGAAGAUAUCCACGGAAGAUAACACACAAGUGUAAUUCUAUAACAAUCAUGACUAGAGACUUCGAUAUCGGUAUGCGCCAAGCAGCAGAACCUUGCGUGUACAUUCACAAGGGGCUCUCAGUUUCGCCGCGGUACCAUAAGUCCUUAACCAUGACACCAUUACAAAACUGGCACCAAUAAUGAAUCUCACGUGGUAAGAACAAUUUGUGCAGAGAUAACAUAUCGAUGUAGUCUCAUAAUGGAUUAUGACUACUAACGGUGAUACCAGCGCGUGCCAAGUAGCGCAACCAUGUGCUGAUCACCCACAGGAGGCUCUGGGUUUCAUCGCGGUGCCAUCGAUUUUAGUCAUAACACCAUUACCAGAUGUAAUCAAUAAGAAAUCUCGCGCCACACCAUUAGAGUAAGCAAGGGUGACAAUAUACAAAGAGAUACCCCACCUAUAAGAAUGGUUACAAGUAGAGAGCCAAAUAGAUCAUGGCCCGAUGAAAUGAACACGAUAUAGCCAAAACCUAAACUUGAUGAAAGGAGUAUGAUGGGAGACUGUUACUUCAGUCCAAGCAUAUUUCUAUGCCCAUCGCAGAGAUUACAAGGUCAGGGAUUAGUAUCUGACUAGAUACGGAGGGAAAAUAAUCAUAAGAUUAAGUUGAUAUGCCUUUGAUAGAUAUGAGGAAACCAAAGGCAUCAAAUUCAAGAAAAAGAUUGGGCAGUCCUUUCCUAAGUUAGGUUGAUAAAAUAACGACAUGAUCCUUAAGAAGAGGCAAAACUGGAUAAGGGACAUCAGCUUGCAUCAACCAAACAAGGACACGGUUUUGGAAGGAGAUAUAACUCAAGAUUCUCGUUUUAAGCCCGGGUACACUUUAUGUCUAACAAGGAAAUUAUCUAAGCAUUUAUUUUUAUGUGUUUGGUCAUGGAGUGAUAACGGAAAAAACAGCUUUGGGUCAUGGUUCACUAAAUAAGAACAUGGCCUAAUUUUGGGUUUAAGCAAACAAACUACUAACCUUCUAUCAGUACAUCAAGCACCAGAGCAAACACAUAUAUAACACCUAAAUAGGUUACCUAAAGAAUGGAGGAUAGCUAUUUCAUUGAAGUUUAUAAUACAACAUUACACCAUAUUAGGUAAAAUCACUGGUUACUGGAAUAAAGAUGAGAGAAGCAUUUUGGAUAUAUAGGUGACAAACACGAUGCAACAAUCAGGAUGCAUGCUCGUCUUAUGCGUCCUCACUGAUUUUGCCAACAUAAUGUGGCAAUAACGUUCUAUAUCAGUGGCAUACUUACGACUCUCGAUAUUUUACUAGUCGUCAGCUACACAUACGUUUUCGAGGUUAGUAUACCUGCAGAAAAUUCCAUCACAGCCCAUUUUUCCCAUGAUGCAGUUCACACAUUAUCACAGUUUAUACUCCAUAUAUUGCUAUAUUGAGGCUAGCUCAUCAUUAAGCGUCGAGCCACGCAUAGGCGCUGUUGCCACACUUUAACCAUAGGGCAACCCAUUAUGGUAACUCACCUUCUUACCUGAGCGUAGGUGCGUCGUUACAAGUACAUUACACUUCUCAGUAUUCCCAUGUCUAUAUACCCGUACAUAUCAUGGGGUACUGAAUUACAUUCCCAAAAAAAGUAUUUACUCCACAUCGCAGCCUUCAUAUAUACAUAUGUGGAACAUGUAUAUAAUCAAGCGCCACAAUUAAGCACUUCCCUAGACCGACGUUUGUUCGGUCAUGCUCUCACAUCUCACCUUACCUGAGCGUCGAUCCAUUCAGAACUGAAUGGCCUCAAAAAUAACAAUACACAUGUAUGCAAUACCACCCGAUUGUGGGUUAUGGUUUUUAAAUAAGCCACCCGAUAGUCCUUAGUUUAGGGCUUAAAAGAGGAUGUCGCUAGCAUUAUAGUUUUUUCAAAACUAUUUUUCAAAACCAAACAACGUGUUUAGUUGAAAAUAGGUUUUCUAAAACCAAAACUUUGUUUUUAAAAUACGUAUGUGACCGUAUAAACUUAAUCCUGCUCCGAUACCAGCUGUGGCAGAACCUCCCAAGUUAUUAGGCCCACAUGCACCUGUCCUUGUCUCAAAGACCUCAGACGACUAUGCAUGUGCACCAGAUAACUUAACAGAAUCUGUCCGAGUGUCCCAAGGACCCCAGAUAAACCACUUACAACCAGGAUCGCAAGAUUAAGUAACACAAAUCACACACACCAACAUUUUGCAGCGGAAAUCUUAUUACCAAAUUUUACAAGUUACAUCAAGUUUUACAAUGUAAAUGAUCGGACUGAUUACAAAAAGUGAUUCAAAGAAGUAACUUUGAACUGUUAUAAAUUAUUUGUAGUUUUGAAAUAUAUGCUAGCUUAAGUGACCAUCCUCAAUAAGAAGUAUAGAAGAGUUACUUAGACUUAUAAGAAGGCCGAGCCCACCGGCACUUAACACCAUCAUCAACAGCACAAAACUAUAACCUGAAAAACAACAGGGAAUAAAACCCUGAGUAUGGAAUUACUCAGCAAGACUUACCCGACUAAAGAAAAGACUCUCAAGGAUAUGCUGGAUUUAGGAAUCAAGGAGAGGCUCUUAGCAAGAAUCAACUUAGAUACUUUUGCAGAAAUAGCUUACUAAAGUGAGUCCUUACUUUCAAUAUUUUAACGCCAGAUUAAAUAUUAAUAGACUCUGGUUGCAUCUAGUCUAAUUUCACCAUCUCAUCAAUACAACAUCAUUUUUAUUCAUAAGGUUUACAUUCUGACUUAGGUUGCAGGGCAGUGAUCAAGUCUCCACUCUCCGGGGAUAUAACGGCGAUACGAAUCGAUUUACUCAGCUGAGAAUCUCUAACCACACGACAUAUGUAGCACUUAACCCUUGCAUAUGUCAACCGUUCCCACAGAUCCUCCACAACGCGAACCGGUCCGCGCUACCCGGGAGCACAGUACUCCUCCAUCCAGCCUCCAGCCAGGAGGGUACACGCUACUCCCACCAUCUCCCACGCCCAGUGCGCGGUUGUCUUUUCACGUAUGGAAUAGCCGGGUUCAAGCUUACUCUGUCCCAUUUAUAGGGCAUGUGGCCAGUUAAGAUAGUCCUUGAUCAUACAGGCCUACAUACACAUCCAAUCCUUAAUUGACCCGGGCAGAGCAUCACCUGUUCCUAGCCCAAGUCGCGAGUUAAAUACUUCCAUCCUUAGGAUUGUUCUGUGUUCCUUAGGAUGAAGAGAGCAUUAUAGGGAACUUUGCAGUAAGAUCCCACCAUGCUCCCAAUGAAAAUAUUCUUGCAGAUAGAAAUCAUCCUUCCUCAGGAUAAACCUGAGCUAGGCAUAAGUGCAAAGGACAAACUCUAUCUGCUUAUAAGCAGGGCUAAGCAUUUUUUGUAAAUUAUAUUUUGAUACUUCACCAGAAGUAUCUAAAAAAGGAAAGGAUUUCAAGGUAGCCAAUGCAUUAAAGGGUUUCCAAGCAACUCCUAUAAACCUAAUGCACAUUCACUAGACUUAAAGUGUGUAAAAAUAAUUUAAAAACACAAAAAAGGGGUUGCAUGCACCGGGGCUUGCCUGAGUAACACUAGGUUAGUGUUUGUUAGCCGACCACAUGACGAGCAUCCAUUGGCUUGGCACUCGUUCAGAUCCAUCUUCCGGUUCGUUCAUCAGCAUCAUCCUGCGGAUUAGCCCGCGCUUGGUAUCGACUUGACUCUUUUCCUUCGUCUUACUUGAUUAAUUAUCGUACAUCAUAAGAUGCACAAUGCACAUGUAUGAGCAUAAAGUAACCGGAUGAUACAAAAAAGAGAAUCAAAUAUUUAGCGGCAAGACAUCGACACAAUCCUACGAAAGCACUAGACAUCUAUAACUCACUAAACACAACAAUCACGAUUUUUCUAGUUUUACCAGAUUUAACUAGCGGGAAUAAUAGAUCAGCUUACCCUGAUCGAAUCGACCCGAUAACCGCGAGGGCGACGACGGCUUGGCGAGGAGGUGAGCGAGACGUCGCAGCACGCGGAGUGAACUCAGGACGAUAUCGAGAGCGCCGAUGCUGCCGUAGCGAGAUCGAGACAAGGACGAGGAUGACAAUCAGGUGUAGCGAGACAACAGAGAAUAGAUGGCAUAGUAGACGUCUCCACGGCGGCAUCAUAGUACCACUGUGAGGUCUAGUAGUAGCUGACAACGCUGGCGAGUUCCACAAGCCGGAGCGUGCACGACAUCAAAACGGACGAGCACGUGACCUGGUGACCCAGCACAGGCACACACGAAACCGAGCUCCAUGGCCAAGCGCUUGAGUCGGUGAGCGUGCAGCCGUGGAAAAGAAACGACGACUGGAGGCGCUGCCUGGCGAAGGAAAGAACGCGCCCCACUUUGGCUAGAACCAGCGGCACGAUGGCUUGAAGACUGAGCGAGGCGAGCAACGUGUUGGAGUUGCUGGGGAGCUCGCGCGUCUGGGAAAAUCUAACGUCGACGAGCAGGAGCGAGCGUUCCUGGUGCUGGAGCAGCCCGGCCAGCAGUAUGAAGCGCGCAGUGGUGCAGUGGUGAGAUGGGUGGCGUGGGUGAUUCCCAGGGUGUUCAACGCAUC
rnacentral:lncRNA from 1 species